UUUAAACGCAACCAUAAGUUUUUAUAUCUAAUUUUAAUCAUUCGUCUUAUUUAAUUUUUUAUGAUUAGUACUUUUAUUAUUAUUAGAUGAUAAAAUAUGAAUAAUACUUUAUGCGUGACUUAUGUGUUUUAUUUUUUUAAAAAAAAAAAUAAGACGGACGAUAAAUAUUGGAUACGGAAACUCACGACUGCACUUAAA
rfam:Oryza glumipatula chromosome 2, whole genome shotgun sequence.